CCGCGGGAUAGAGUUUGAUCCUGGCUCGGAUUACGCUGGCGGCGUGCCUAACACAUGCAAGUCGAACGAGGGGGGCAACCCCCGAGUGGCAGACGGGUGAGUAACGCGUGGUCAACCUACCCUAGAGUGGGGAAUAACUAGCCGAAAGGUUAGCUAAUACCGCAUGAUACGUUUUGGGACAUCCCAGGACGUUGAAAGGAGCAAUCCGCUCGAGGACGGGACCGCGUCCGAUUAGCUAGUUGGUGAGGUAACGGCCCACCAAGGCUCCGAUCGGUAGCUGGUUUGAGAGAGCGACCAGCCACACUGGGACUGAGAAACGGCCCAGACUCCUACGGGAGGCAGCAGUGAGGAAUUUUCCGCAAUGGGCGAAAGCCUGACGGAGCGACGCCGCGUGUGGGAAGAAGGCCUUCGGGUCGUAAACCACUGUCGAAGGGGACUAUACUGAAGGUACCCUUGGAGGAAGCCCCGGCUAACUACGUGCCAGCAGCCGCGGUAAGACGUAGGGGGCAAGCGUUAUUCGGAAUUAUUGGGCGUAAAGCGCUCGUAGGCGGGAGGUCAAGUCCGUGAAGAAAGACCUGGGCUCAACUCAGGGAACGGCACGGAUACUGGCUUUCUUGAGGCAUUCAGAGGGUGAUGGAAUUCCCGGUGUAGCGGUGAAAUGCGUAGAUAUCGGGAGGAACACCAGUGGCGAAGGCGAUCACCUGGGGAUGUUCUGACGCUGAAGAGCGAAAGCUAGGGGAGCAAACGGGAUUAGAUACCCCGGUAGUCCUAGCCGUAAACGAUGGACACUAGGUGUAUGUGGUAUCGACUCCAUAUGUGCCGUAGUUAACACAAUAAGUGU
rnacentral:rRNA from 1 species